AGGCUUAACACAUGCAAGUCGAGGGGCAGCAUUUUAGUUUGCUUGCAAACUGAAGAUGGCGACCGGCGCACGGGUGAGUAACACGUAUCCAACCUGCCGAUAACUCCGGGAUAGCCUUUCGAAAGAAAGAUUAAUACCGGAUAGCAUACGAAUAUCGCAUGAUAUUUUUAUUAAAGAAUUUCGGUUAUCGAUGGGGAUGCGUUCCAUUAGUUUGUUGGCGGGGUAACGGCCCACCAAGACUACGAUGGAUAGGGGUUCUGAGAGGAAGGUCCCCCACAUUGGAACUGAGACACGGUCCAAACUCCUACGGGAGGCAGCAGUGAGGAAUAUUGGUCAAUGGGCGCGAGCCUGAACCAGCCAAGUAGCGUGAAGGAUGAAGGCUCUAUGGGUCGUAAACUUCUUUUAUAUGGGAAUAAAGUUUUCCACGUGUGGAAUUUUGUAUGUACCAUAUGAAUAAGGAUCGGCUAACUCCGUGCCAGCAGCCGCGGUAAUACGGAGGAUCCGAGCGUUAUCCGGAUUUAUUGGGUUUAAAGGGAGCGUAGGUGGAUUGUUAAGUCAGUUGUGAAAGUUUGCGGCUCAACCGUAAAAUUGCAGUUGAAACUGGCAGUCUUGAGUACAGUAGAGGUGGGCGGAAUUCGUGGUGUAGCGGUGAAAUGCUUAGAUAUCACGAAGAACUCCGAUUGCGAAGGCAGCUCACUAGACUGUCACUGACACUGAUGCUCGAAAGUGUGGGUAUCAAACAGGAUUAGAUACCCUGGUAGUCCACACAGUAAACGAUGAAUACUCGCUGUUUGCGAUAUACAGUAAGCGGCCAAGCGAAAGCAUUAAGUAUUCCACCUGGGGAGUACGCCGGCAACGGUGAAACUCAAAGGAAUUGACGGGGGCCCGCACAAGCGGAGGAACAUGUGGUUUAAUUCGAUGAUACGCGAGGAACCUUACCCGGGCUUAAAUUGCAACAGAAUAUAUUGGAAACAGUAUAGCCGUAAGGCUGUUGUGAAGGUGCUGCAUGGUUGUCGUCAGCUCGUGCCGUGAGGUGUCGGCUUAAGUGCCAUAACGAGCGCAACCCUUAUCUUUAGUUACUAACAGGUCAUGCUGAGGACUCUAGAGAGACUGCCGUCGUAAGAUGUGAGGAAGGUGGGGAUGACGUCAAAUCAGCACGGCCCUUACGUCCGGGGCUACACACGUGUUACAAUGGGGGGUACAGAAGGCGGCUACCUGGUGACAGGAUGCUAAUCCCAAAAACCUCUCUCAGUUCGGAUCGAAGUCUGCAACCCGACUUCGUGAAGCUGGAUUCGCUAGUAAUCGCGCAUCAGCCAUGGCGCGGUGAAUACGUUCCCGGGCCUUGUACACACCGCCCGUCAAGCCAUGAAAGCCGGGGGUACCUGAAGUACGUAACCGCAAGGAGCGUCCUAGGGUAAAACUGGUAAUUGGGGCUAAGUAA
rnacentral:rRNA from 1 species